AACGUAGGAGACGAACGUUAUCCGGAGUUACUGGGCGUAAAGGGCGUGUAGGCGGUUUGUUAAGUCUGGCGUGAAAGCUCUCGGCUAAACCGGGAGAGGUCGUUGGAUACUGGCAAACUUGAGGAUGGUAGAGGCGUGUGGAAUUCCGGGUGUAGUGGUGAAAUGCGUAGAGAUCCGGAGGAACACCAGUGGCGAAGGCGACACGCUGGGCCAUACCUGACGCUAAAGCGCGACAGCAUGGGGAGCAAACAGG
rnacentral:rRNA from 1 species